rnacentral:misc_RNA from 1 species
CAACAAAGGAUUAUUGUCUUUGCUGGAAGUCCCAUCAAGCAUGAUAAGAAGGCAUUAGAGAUGAUUGGAAGAAAGUUGAAAAAGAACAGUGUAGCACUUGAUAUUGUUGAUUUUGGUGAAGAUGAUAAUGGGAAGGCAGAGAAGUUGGAAGCUCUUCUUGCUUCUGUUAACAAUAAUGACACCAGCCACAUUGUUCAUGUUC